rnacentral:rRNA from 1 species
CAAAAGCUCGCGAUGCCGCCCUCGCCGCAUGGAUUGCCGACAAUGUGACCUUCCCCUGCACCAUGGUUGACCGCAUUGUUCCGGCGGCGACCGAAGAGACGCUACAGCUGGUUGCCGACCAGUUAGGAUAGUAAUCGUGGAUCAGAAUGCCACGGUGAAUACGUUCCCGGGCCUUGUACACACCGCCCGUCACACCAUGGGAGUGGGUUGCAAAAGAAGUAGGUAGCUUAACCUUCGGGAGGGCGCUUACCACUU